GACGAACGCUGGCGGCGUGCCUAAUACAUGCAAGUAGAACGCUGAAGAGAGGAGCUUGCUCUUCUUGGAUGAGUUGCGAACGGGUGAGUAACGCGUAGGUAACCUGCCUUGUAGCGGGGGUUAACUAUUGGAAACGAUAGCUAAUACCGCAUAACAAUGGAUGACACAUGUCAUUUAUUUGAAAGGGGCAAUUGCUCCACUACAAGAUGGACCUGCGUUGUAUUAGCUAGUAGGUGAGGUAAUGGCUCACCUAGGCGACGAUACAUAGCCGACCUGAGAGGGUGAUCGGCCACACUGGGACUGAGACACGGCCCAGACUCCUACGGGAGGCAGCAGUAGGGAAUCUUCGGCAAUGGGGGCAACCCUGACCGAGCAACGCCGCGUGAGUGAAGAAGGUUUUCGGAUCGUAAAGCUCUGUUGUAAGUCAAGAACGGGUGUGAGAGUGGAAAGUUCACACUGUGACGGUAGCUUACCAGAAAGGGACGGCUAACUACGUG
rnacentral:rRNA from 1 species